rnacentral:rRNA from 1 species
UGGGGAAUAUUGCACAAUGGGGGAAACCCUGAUGCAGCGACGCCGCGUGAGCGAAGAAGGUUUUCGAAUCGUAAAGCUCUGUCCUAUGAGAAGAUAAUGACGGUAUCAUAGGAGGAAGCCCCGGCUAAAUACGUGCCAGCAGCCGCGGUAAUACGUAUGGGGCGAGCGUUGUCCGGAAUUAUUGGGCGUAAAGGGCUUGUAGGCGGUUGGCCGCGUCUGCCGUGAAAUCCUCUGGCUUAACUGGGGGCGUGCGGUGGGUACGGGUUGACUUGAGUGCGGUAGGGGGGACUGGAAUUCCUGGUGUAGCGGUGGAAUGCGCAGAUAUCAGGAGGAACACCGGUGGCGAAGGCGGGUCUCUGGGCCGUUACUGACGCUGAGGAGCGAAAGCGUGGGGAGCGAACAGG